rnacentral:lncRNA from 1 species
GCAGAACAUGUUUUUUGCCGGACUGCGACGACCUACCCCUACAGUGCAACCACAAACGUGAAGAUGUCUUUGUAACGUGGUGCAGCCAUUUUCGCCCGUCAGCGCCCAAAUUGAUUGCUGCAUCCAUUUCAUUCAUGGCUCCUAUACCUCCCUUGAGGAUUCAGCUCCGGCAGAGAGAGAUCAAGAGAGCAGGCAAAAUGACCAGUCAUCGAAACCUUCCUGGAAAACAAAGAUCUUUCCAAUCUAAUCACUAUUUUGAAGAAGAUAUAAAGUUGAUCAUUGAUAUCUAUCAAUAUACCUCUUGUAUGAAUACUGUUUUUUGAUUUACUGAUCAAGGGAUAAAAUAUAUUUCAGAUGACAUUUGAUGUAGUCUGUCAUUUUUCAAUGAGUAUAAGAGGAUAGUUACUCUAAUACCAUACUGAUGUUACUCGGACAUGAUGUCCGUGUAACAUAGGUAACUGGAGGUGUUGAGGUGAAUAUAGACCAUAAAUCUUGCAGGUUUCCUUUCAAUUGUGUUAUCAUCUCAUUAAAUAUGUUUCAUGCAUCAAUUAAUUGGCACAUUUCAUGGAAUGUAGCCAAGAUUUUCUAUGCAAGAGAAAAGAUUGCCCUUUAGAAAAAAACAUGAUCUGAAGAUUGCUAGUUCCUCAUUUGUUUCAUGUUUAUAAAUUGAUAUAAUGUUGCUGUGUUCAAGUUUUAAGUAUUCUAAACUAUUGCUCCCAUCAUCUAAAUGUUUUCCACACACAAAAAAGUGGAGUACAGACUGUGACAAAGUUUCAGAUCAGAAAAUAAAUGAGCAAGUAAAAAAA